AGAAUUGAUAAUAAUGUGCAUGGAUCAGGGUGGUUUUGAUCCGCUCGUGAAAUAUUAGACACUAAUUGAUAAUUUUUAUUGAUAAAUAUUAAAUGGUAAUAAUAAUUUAAAACGUGCAAUUUACUUUGGUGGAAGUAAUUGGUAAAGAAGGUAUUGCAUUUUCAGAUUUACAAAAUGGCAGCUGAAGAAUUACAGAAACAGUUCCAAACAGAACUGGAUGCUUUUAA